GCCUGCUACUGACCCUGCAGCCAGAACAGAAGUUCCAGAAAGUGAAGGGAUUUGGAGGGGCCAUGACAGAUGCUGCUGCUCUCAACAUCCUUGCCCUGUCACCCCCUGCCCAAAAUUUGCUACUUAAAUCGUACUUCUCUGAAGAAGGAAUCGGAUAUAACAUCAUCCGCGUACCCAUGGCCAGCUGUGACUUCUCCAUCCGCACCUACACAUAUGCAGACACCCCUGAUGAUUUCCAGUUGCACAACUUCAGCCUCCCAGAGGAAGAUACCAAGCUCAAGAUACCCCUGAUUCACCAAGCCCUGUAGUUGGCCCAGCAUCCCGUUUUACUCCUUGCCAACCCCUGGACAUCACCCACCAGGCUCAAGAUCAGUGGAGUGGUGAAUGGGAAGGUGUCACUCAAGGGACAGCCCAGAGACAUCUACCACCAGACCUGGGCCAGAUACUUUGUGAAGUUCCUGGAUGCCUAUGCAGAGCACAAGUUACAGUUCUGGGCAGUGACAGCUGAAAAUGAGCCUUCUGCUGGGCUAUUGAGUGGAUACCCCUUCCAGUGCCUGGGCUUCACCCCUGAACAUCAGCGAGACUUCAUUGCCCGUGACCUAGGUCCUACCCUCGCCAACAGUACUCACCACAAUGUCCGCCUGCUCAUGCUGGAUGACCAACGCUUGCUGCUGCCCCACUGGGCAAAGGUGAACCUCCUGUACCAUGUGGUCGGCUGGACCGACUGGAACCUCGCCCUGAACCCCGAAGGAGGACCCAACUGGGUGCGUAAUUUUGUCGACAGUCCCGUCAUUGUAGACAUCACCAAGGACACGUUUUACAAACAGCCCAUGUUCUACCACCUUGGUCACUUCAGCAAGUUCAUUCCUGAGGGCUCCCAGAGAGUGGGGCUGGUUGCCAGUCAGAAGAACGACCUGGACACAGUGGCACUGAUGCAUCCCGAUGGCUCUGCCGUUGUGGUCGUGCUAAACCGCUCCUCUAAGGAUGUGCCUCUUACCAUCAAGGAUCCUGCCGUGGGCUUCCUGGAGACGAUCUCACCUGGCUACUCCAUUCACACCUACCUGUGGCGUCGCCAGUGAUGGAGUGGAUACUCAAGCUCAGCCUGAGCAUUAAAGGGACAGAGUCAGCUCACACGCUGUCUGUGGCUAAAGAGGGCACAGCAGGGCCAGGGUGAGCUUACAGCGACAUAAGCCCAAGGGCAGUGGUUUGGGUGAUUCACUUUCCCCUCUAGGUGGUGCCAGGGGCUGGAGGCCCCUAGAAAAAGAUCAGUAAGCCCCAGUGUCCCCCCAGCCCCCAUGCUUAUGUGAACGUGCACUGUGUGCUGCUUGCUUUGGAAACUGGACCUGGGCCCAGGCCUAGGGUGAGCUCACUGUCGUACAAACACAAGAUGAAGGGUGAGGGUAAGGAAAAGAAGAGACUAGGAAAGCUGGGCCCAAAACUGGAGACUGUUUGUCUUUCCUGGAGAUGCAGAACUGGGCCCGUGGAGCAGCAGUGUCAGCAUCAGGGCGGAAGCCUUAAAGCAGCAGCAGGUGUGCCCAGGCACCCAGAUGGUUCCUGUGGGACUAACCAGGAAAAAUGGCAGCUCUUAAAGGAGAAAAUGUUUGAGCCCA